CAUGAAAAGUACAGUUCCAAUAAUUGAAAAGAUUGAACAAAACACAAACUGUAAUUUUGUGGUGGGACCAAAGAGAGAGUUUGAUCAAUCACUACUUUGUUUUGUUGUUUUUUAUAAAUAGAAGAAAAUAAGGGUCUUUUGGAGGUUCAUAGGACAUGGUCAAUCUUGACAUUUGUUGUCCUAUGAUAUGAAUCUUCACCUCAAUCAAUCAUCAAUAACAAUCUUCAACUUGUUCAAAUUCUACUUCUUUUACCCCACCUUCAAGAAAGUAAGUACCCUUUAUUUCUUUAUUCUUUAUCUUUGCAAAAAUCUUGGCCUUUUGCUUUUCUCUUUCUCUUUUUUGGUUAUAGGAAACAAAAGUUCGCUUCUUUUUUAUGGGGUCUUGAUAAAAAAUCCAGUGCAUUGAGUUCUUCCAAAAGUUUGGCUUGAAGAGAAAUUCCUCACAUCUACACUAGGUUCCUAUUCAUAAUGGGACUCUCACCAUAUACGACUCCAGCAGAUGCAGGAGUGUUCUGUGUGAUUCUGGUUAAUACAGCCAUAUCCAUCUCUAUUGUCAAGGGAAUGGUUCGAUCUAUCCUUCAUGUGAUUGGCAUCAACUUUGCAUCAUGGGAAGAAUAUUCUAUUGAAGGCCCUUUUGACCCAUUUGAGUGUCGUGGGAGCCCCUCGGGAUCAUACAUGGAGGAGUUCCGAAGCAGAACCCCUGCUGUUCGUUACGAUUCAUUGUGUUCUAAUCACCCUACACAAGAAUGCGUGGUAUGUCUGGCAGAGUUCAAACAUGACGAGGAGAUAAACUGCCUCUCAUGUGGCCACGUUUUUCAUAAGCUGUGUCUCGAGAAAUGGCUAAAGAAUUGGAAUGUCACCUGCCCUCUCUGCAGGAAUUACAUUAUGCCUAAAGAAGGUGAGGAAGAUACUUGUCCAAUGUGAAUUUUGUAGUUUGUCAGGCCUGUUUGAUAUGUUCUGAUGUACAGCUUAGUUGGGUAAAAAUUUAUUGAUGACUGCCUGAUCUUUGACACUGCAUAAUUCUGUAACCUUUUAUACUGUAAUACUUUGCGUCCUAUCACAGUGACGGGUCUCUUUGUUGCGACCAACAAUUCAUAUAUUGUUGUACAUAUGUUACAAAAUUGCCAGUUCCUGAUGUUUCUCA